rnacentral:rRNA from 1 species
UACGCAGGGUGCAAGCGUUAAUCGGAAUUACUGGGCGUAAAGCGUGCGCAGGCGGUUUUGUAAGUCUGUCGUGAAAGCCCCGGGCUCAACCUGGGAAUUGCGAUGGAGACUGCAAGGCUUGAAUCUGGCAGAGGGGGGUAGAAUUCCACGUGUAGCAGUGAAAUGCGUAGAGAUGUGGAGGAACACCGAUGGCGAAGGCAGCCCCCUGGGUCAAGAUUGACGCUCAUGCACGAAAGCGUGGGGAGCAAACAGG